CCUACGGGAGGCAGCAGUGAGGAAUAUUGGUCAAUGGGCGGAAGCCUGAACCAGCGAAGUAGCGUGCAGGAUGACGGCCCUACGGGUUGUAAACUGCGUUUAUACGGGAAUAACGCGCCUUACGUGUAGGGCUUUGCAUGUACCGAAUGAAUAAGGACCGGCUAAUUCCGUGCCAGCAGCCGCGGUAAUACGGAGGGUCCGGGAGUUAUCCGGAUUGAUUGGGUUUAAAGGGAGCGUAGGCCGCAUGUCAAGCGUGCUGUGAAAUGUUCGGGCUCAACCCGGGCCUUGCAGCGCGAACUGGCGUGCUUGAGUCCGCGGAAAGCAGGCGGAAUUCGUCGUGUAGCGGUGAAAUGCUGAGAUAUGACGAAGAACCCCGAUUGCGAAGGCAGCUUGCUGCAGCGGAACUGACGCUGAUGCUCGAAAGCGCGGGUAUCGAACAGGAUUAGAUACCACUGUAGUC
rnacentral:rRNA from 1 species